UGGGGAAUUUUGGACAAUGGGGGAAACCCUGAUCCAGCCAUCCCGCGUGUGCGAUGAAGGCCCCCGGGUUGUAAAGCACUUUUGGCAGGAAAGAAACGUCAUGGGUUAAUACCCCGUGAAACUGACGGUACCUGCAGAAUAAGCACCGGCUAACUACGUGCCAGCAGCCGCGGUAAUACGUAGGGUGCAAGCGUUAAUCGGAAUUACUGGGCGUAAAGCGUGCGCAGGCGGUUCGGAAAGAAAGAUGUGAAAUCCCAGAGCUCAACGUUGGAACUGCAUUUUUAACUACCGGGCUAGAGUGUGUCAGAGGGAGGUGGAAUUCCGCGUGUAGCAGUGAAAUGCGUAGAUAUGCGGAGGAACACCGAUGGCGAAGGCAGCCUCCUGGGAUAACACUGACGCUCAUGCACGAAAGCGUGGGGAGCAAACAGG
rnacentral:rRNA from 1 species